rnacentral:rRNA from 1 species
UACGUAGGGUGCGAGCGUUGUCCGGAAUUAUUGGGCGUAAAGAGCUUGUAGGCGGUUUGUCGCGUCUGCUGUGAAAAUCCGGGGCUCAACCCCGGACUUGCAGUGGGUACGGGCAGACUAGAGUGUGGUAGGGGGAGACUGGAAUUCCUUGGUGUAGCGGUGAAAAUGCGCAGAUAUCAGGAGGAACACCGAUGGCGAAGGCAGACUCGCUGGGACGUACUGACGCUGAGGCGCGAAAGCGUGGGGAGCAAACAGG